GUGGGGUGGAAGACUCACGUUUGGUGACCACCUUGUUGAGCAGCUUCUGUAGCUCAUACAUGCCUAUCUCCUUGUCCUAAGAAGGGCGACCAUAAAUCCCAGCUCUGGCACGUUCCCCCCAUCCACCUGCUUUGGGUGCCCAGCCCUCGGCCUCGCACCUCUCCUCCUGCCACUAUCCCAAACAAAUGUAUGAAGUCCUGGUCUACGUCAUUCUCACAGAACUUCUCCUGGAGGGAAAGGAGUGGGAAAGAGACCCAGUGAAGAAAGUUCCUUCACACUCCUCAGAUGCUUCCUCUGGUCCCUCGACCCCACAGCCUCCCCUCACCUCCUGGAGUAGCUCAGCACAGUUGGCUUCAUCCAGUUCCCUGCGCAAAAGUGAAGGAAGACCCGUAGCAGGAAGUCGGCAUCUCUGUGUGGCUCAAAGGUGGAGGGAAUGAUGACAUAUUCCCCUGGAGGCAGCCGGAGAUGACUGCUCACCUCCCGCGAGUUAGUGAAGAUCUCUGAGAAGCCAUGGUCCUGAUACUUUAUGAAGAAGUCCUUCUUCAAGCGAGUA